AUCUUAAUCUUCGUUGUUACAUGGCACUGCUUCAACAACGAAAACCGAUCUUCCGAUCCCUAAAAACCCUAAGGACAAGAGCAUCGCGAGCAUGGUUCUCCCCACUUGGUAGGUCACAAAACUUAAAGAAUCGUUCUCUCGAGUAACCCAAUACAAACUUCCAUUCAACGAUACAACCCUUAAGUAAUAGUUAAUGGUCACAAGUUCACUAUAUUUUGUUUCGUCUAAAUCUUCAUCUUUCCACGUAUCGGUAGAGUCUAAGUCCUCCAUAUAAACCGAAAGGGUCUUGUAAUCAAUUUCCUCAACCCUCUGACUCUUAUUAUUAUCAUAACCUAUGCCAAGAAAAUCCAAACUAGGUUCGUUAACCUCGGGGCUCGAUGCAUCUAGUCUGUCUUAACCAGGGGUUCCAAACAACGGCUCCUUCACCCAUGCUACAAAGCAAGAAUCCACUGG